AUUACUAUUUCUAUGCUAACAUUAUAGGAAUUAUUUAAUAGAUACAGUGAAAGUUUUGUUCUUUAAGGUUUUUUAAACAAGAGUAGUAAUAAGUAGAAUCGGGGUACACAGUAGAAGAUACCUUUUAUAUAAGUUAUUAGACAAAAUGGACAUUAUAUUUGCCUUAGCAUUUCUUGCUGUAACAACGGCAUUACCUCACCCUGAUCCGUUGCCAGUCCCACAACCAAUUGGCAUAAACGAGGAACUGUACAAUAGUGACGCCGGUUCUAUAUCCUACGAUCAUGUUAAUUUUGUUGAUGUUCCAAAUUACAAUACGGAUGAUUUAAAAAAUCUCUAUGAGUUAGUUAACGCAGCAAAUGACGUGGUUGAAGCAAAGGAAACUAAUGACUUCAUACAUUUAGUCGAUUCUUCUAUCGAGGCAGAUAGUCAGUUCAAAAUUGAAUAUAAUCCACUCCAAUUUAAUGAACUGGCUGAAAUUUCAAAAUAUAAUGAAGAACCACAAAUUGAUGCUGUCUUAGUUGGUGAUUCCCCAACCAAUAGAGAAGAAGAAAUUGUUGCUGAUGAUAUCAUAGUUGUUGAAAGCCCGGUAGAUCAAAAAGAAAAUAUUCAAAACGAUGUUGAAAGCGUGAUGGUUGAAGGCCCUUUAACCAAUUUCGCAGAUGAACUCCAAAUAAUGAGAUUCGCAGAAUCACAAAAUGAAAACAACAAUGAAAACUAUGGUGGAGUGUUCAUGGGAAUUGCUCCUUCAGAAUUAGAUUCACUCCGGGUAAACUUUGCAAGAGAACAUUCAUUUCAACCAAAUCAGGAACAAAUAAAUGACGCUCAAUACAUUCCGGGAAUGAGCGUUCGCGACCCAACAUGGCGUUAAAUUAUUAUUUUAGUGCUCUUUUCAUUGUAUUAAACUCCUCUUUUAACUUUAUAUAAACGAUUAAUUAAUUAAAUACGUUUUAAAUGAU